rnacentral:rRNA from 1 species
ACGAGGGGCCCGAGCGUUAAUCGGAAUUACUGGGCGUAAAGCGUGCGCAGGCGGUUGUGCAAGACAGAUGUGAAAUCCCCGGGCUCAACCUGGGAACUGCAUUUGUGACUGCACGACUGGAGUGCGGCAGAGGGGGAUGGAAUUCCGCGUGUAGCAGUGAAAUGCGUAGAUAUGCGGAGGAACACCGAUGGCGAAGGCAAUCCCCUGGGCCUGCACUGACGCUCAUGCACGAAAGCGUGGGGAGCAAACAG